rnacentral:rRNA from 1 species
GAAGUAGCAAUACUUAGUGGCAGACGGGUGAGUAACACGUAGGUAUCUGCCCUUUGGCCUGGAAUAACACGAGGAAACUUGUGCUAAUACCGGAUAAGUCUUUACGGAGAAAGCUUUAUGCACCAUUGGAUGAGCCUGCACUUGAUUAGUUUGUUGGUGGGGUAAUGGCCUACCAAGACUGUGAUCAAUAGCUGAUUUGAGAGGAUGAUCAGCCACAUUGGGACUGAGACACGGCCCAAACUCCUACGGGAGGCAGCAGUGGGGAAUCUUGCACAAUGGAGGAAACUCUGAUGCAGCGAUGCCGCGUGAGUGAAGAAGGCCCUUGGGUUGUAAAGCUCUUUCGUCGGGGAAGAAAAUGACUGUACCCGAAUAAGAAGGUCCGGCUAACUUCGUGCCAGCAGCCGCGGUAAUACGAAGGGACCUAGCGUAGUUCGGAAUUACUGGGCUUAAAGAGUUCGUAGGUGGUUGAAAAAGUUAGUGGUGAAAUCCCAGAGCUUAACUCUGGAACUGCCAUUAAAACUUUUCAGCUAGAGUAUGAUAGAGGAAAGCAGAAUUUCUAGUGUAGAGGUGAAAUUCGUAGAUAUUAGAAAGAAUACCAAUUGCGAAGGCAGCUUUCUGGAUCAUUACUGACACUGAGGAACGAAAGCAUGGGUAGCGAAGAGGAUUAGAUACCCUCGUAGUCCAUGCCGUAAACGAUGUGUGUUAGACGUUGGAAAUUUAUUUUCAGUGUCGCAGCGAAAGCGAUAAACACACCGCCUGGGGAGUACGACCGCAAGGUUAAAACUCAAAUGAAUUGACGGGGACCCGCACAAGUAGUGGAGCAUGUGGUUUAAUUCGAAGAUACGCGCAGAACCUUACCAACACUUGACAUGUUCGUCGCGACUCUAAGAGAUUAGAGUUUUCGGUUCGGCCGGACGAAACACAGGUGCUGCAUGGCUGUCGUCAGCUCGUGUCGUGAGAUGUUGGGUUAAGUCCCGCAACGAGCGCAACCCUCACUUUUAGUUGCCAUCAUUAAGUUGGGCACUCUGAA